rnacentral:rRNA from 1 species
UGGGGAAUUUUGGACAAUGGGGGAAACCCUGAUCCAGCCAUCCCGCGUGUGCGAUGAAGGCCUUCGGGUUGUAAAGCACUUUUGGCAGGAAAGAAACGUCGCGGGUUAAUACCCCGCGAAACUGACGGUACCUGCAGAAUAAGCACCGGCUAACUACGUGCCAGCAGCCGCGGUAAUACGUAGGGUGCAAGCGUUAAUCGGAAUUACUGGGCGUAAAGCGUGCGCAGGCGGUUCGGAAAGAAAGAUGUGAAAUCCCAGAGCUUAACUUUGGAACUGCAUUUUUAACUACCGGGCUAGAGUGUGUCAGAGGGAGGUGGAAUUCCGCGUGUAGCAGUGAAAUGCGUAGAUAUGCGGAGGAACACCGAUGGCGAAGGCAGCCUCCUGGGAUAACACUGACGCUCAUGCACGAAAGCGUGGGGAGCAAACAGGAUUAGAUACCCUGGUAGUCCACGCCCUAAACGAUGUCAACUAGCUGUUGGGGCCUUCGGGCCUUGGUAGCGCAGCUAACGCGUGAAGUUGACCGCCUGGGGAGUACGGUCGCAAGNUUAAAACUUAAAUGAAUUGACGGGGGUCAUAGCUGUUUCCU